ensembl:lncRNA
AAAAAAAAAAAAACUCCUCUCUCUGCUUUGAUUCCCUUUGAAAGGUGUUUGGUUCAACACAGAGGAGGAGAAGGUUAGAGGAAACAGAAGCGGGGAAGGGGGACUCACAGAUGGGCUGUGACGUGACACGCAUGGGAAAGAGGCCUGGGCCCCGAAGUCUGCGGUGCCGGUGACCUGGCCUUGCCUCAGGUGGAUUUUGCCUCCUAAAAGGUAGCCGUGUUCAAACAGGGCUGAGACCUCCCAGCCCAUCCCAGGAUCUGGCAGGCCAGCCUUCCUUCUCCUGGCUGCCGUUCUGUCUGUCCUCUCUCCCCAGGAGAAGCUGGGGUGGUUGCAGUGACACAGCAAACAGCCUGGGCCCCAGGCAAGGAGCUCGGGGGAGCCAGCUCUCUGCUGCUGGGAGUCUCCUGAGACCUCACAAACUGCCCCAGCUUCCUCAGGCUCGGCCAGAGUGCUGGCUCAGCAAGGCUGGGCUCGCAGCAAGGCUGGUGAGCCCUGAGCUGUUGGACAGGGUGCAGCUGCCAGCUUCCAGCCACUGCCCGACUCCUUUUCCAGUGCCCCUUCCGCAACUGCCACCCCAGCUGCCCUGGGGCCCCCCAAACCCUGGGGGACGCAGCUUCACCUCUCUGUGUCUCAGGGCAUCUGUGAAAUGAGGGCUUUCAUGAAGCUGCAGGGGAGGGAGUGGGGCCCUGGGGUUCCACAGAGGAGGCUGUGCAGGCAGAGAGCCAGAGCCCUUGAGCAGGGGGACUUUGUAAGUUACCAGAGUGUCCUCCAUUACCCAGGAGCAAGAGGCAGCCAGGCCUCUGGACAGAGCAGAAUCUGAGGCCUAGACAUCAAACCCCUAGCCUCCUGGUUUCUUGCUGAACCCCCCUUGGAGGGGUCGCCCCAUUCCUCUCUGUAUUCUCCAAACCACGGAAAGAAGAAUGACCACUCACCAACCCCCGUUGGACCUACAGACCCUUCCUGGCCCCGCCUGCAAGUACCUGGGAGAGUAAAUGGAUUGGUCCUCCUUGGUCAUGUGCUCACCUCGUCCAAUCAGCUAUGGGCACAGUCUGAACUCUUAGCUGAGAACCCCCACCCUCCGAGUUAGGGGAGGGGCAUUCCCAGUGCCCUUCAUCCUGAGCAGGACGUCACUCCCACAGGUGUCCCAAUAAGGGCCUAUGGCCGUGGUCUGGGAGUCAGGAAGAACUGAGUGGAAGAGGGUGGGUGGACUGGCCCAGUUCAGCACCUUGGACAGGUCACUCCAGUUUCUGAUGUAGCGAAGGGACUCAUAGCCCCCGCCAGGCUGCCCUGCCUCACAGUGAGGCUGCCGAGGGGGCACCAAACAGCCACGCGUGGGACUCAAAUCCUCAGACACUCAGCCUUCAUCCAGGGCUCCAUCCACUACAUCAACGCCCCGGGAGCAGGCUCUUCUCCCAGGCUAUCCAAGGAGGAACCGACGCGGGCGUUCACAUAUGAAGGCGUUCUAAAAUGUACGUUCUAUUAUCAUUCAGGUAUGAUGAGGCUAAUAGAUCAAGGGACUGCCAUUAGAAAGAAGGUUUAUUGGCCAGGGGCGGGGGCUCAAGCCUUUAAUCCCAGCACUUUGGGAGGCCGAGGUGGGCCGAUCACGAGGUCAGGAGAUCGAGAUUGUCCUGGCUAACACGGUGAAACCCCGUCUCUACUAAAAAUACAAAAAAAAAAAA